UGGGGAAUAUUGCACAAUGGGCGCAAGCCUGAUGCAGCCAUGCCGCGUGUAUGAAGAAGGCCUUCGGGUUGUAAAGUACUUUCAGCGGGGAGGAAGGGAGUAAAGUUAAUACCUUUGCUCAUUGACGUUACCCGCAGAAGAAGCACCGGCUAACUCCGUGCCAGCAGCCGCGGUAAUACGGAGGGUGCAAGCGUUAAUCGGAAUUACUGGGCGUAAAGCGCACGCAGGCGGUCUGUCAAGUCGGAUGUGAAAUCCCCGGGCCCAACCUGGGAACUGCAUUCGAAACUGGCAGGCUAGAGUCUUGUAGAGGGGGGUAGAAUUCCAGGUGUAGCGAUGAAAUGCGUAGAGAUCUGGAGGAAUACCGGUGGCGAAGGCGGCCCCCUGGACAAAGACUGACGCUCAGGUGCGAAAGCGUGGGGAGCAAACAGG
rnacentral:rRNA from 1 species